GCCAAGAUGGCCGAAUAUGAACAGCUCCUGUCUACAGCUCCCAGCGUGAGCAACGAAGAAGACGGGUGAUUUCAGCAUUUCCAUCUGAGUUAAAAUCCUGGAUAUGGAGUCCGAGAUAUGGAAGGCCAAUUGGCUGCCAAAGAAAUGGGAGAGACAACACGUGCGGUGGCUUCAAAGGAGGAGGGAGAGUUGAGUUUAAACUAAUGAAGUAAAGGCAGGGAUGGGAGACUGAAAGGAAGGAAGACGCUGACACUUCUUCAGUGUGAUUGUAUGCCAUACACUGUGCUGGGUGCUGUUAAUACAACAACGCUUCUGGCUAUGUACUGUUUAACCCCAUUAGAAAUAAAGCAACAGGAGUUCAGAGAAUUUAAGUAACUCGAUUUAGGUCACUCAGCAAUUAGCCAGGCCAGACAUAUACCCAGGCUGAAGGAUGGCCAAGCUCAUUAAGUCAGGCAGCUAGAAUUGAGACCAGUGGUGAAAUAGAAUGAGAGCAUUGAUAUGAACGUGGUUUAUACACUUUUAAGGGCUACGAAGAUCAUUCCAGAGGAAUGAAGGAACAAGGAGAGAAUUGUGUCAACAAAGACUGGCACAUGGCAGGAUUCCACUCACUUUCCACAAACUUUGAAGGAAGAAGUAGCUAAUUGAAUCUGAAGUUUCAUUCACUAGAAACUAAUAGAGAAUUUACAAUAAUUUAUCCUGGAUGGAAAGUAAGAUCCAU
rnacentral:lncRNA from 1 species